rnacentral:rRNA from 1 species
GAUGAACGCUAGCGGCAGGCUUAACACAUGCAAGUCGAGGGGUAACAGGGAGGAGCUUGCUUUUCCGCUGACGACCGGCGCACGGGUGCGUAACGCGUAUAGAACCUACCUUUUACAGGGGAAUAGCCCAGAGAAAUUUGGAUUAAUGCCCCAUAGUAUUAUUGAAUGGCAUCAUUUAAUAAUUAAACAUUUAUGGGUAAAAGAUGGCUAUGCGUUCUAUUAGCUAGAUGGUAAGGUAACGGCUUACCAUGGCAACGAUAGAUAGGGGUCCUGAGAGGGAGAUCCCCCACACUGGUACUGAGACACGGACCAGACUCCUACGGGAGGCAGCAGUGAGGAAUAUUGGACAAUGGAGGCAACUCUGAUCCAGCCAUGCCGCGUGCAGGAAGACGGUCCUAUGGAUUGUAAACUGCUUUUAUAUAGGAAGAAACCUUUCCACGUGUGGAAAGCUGACGGUACUAUAAGAAUAAGCACCGGCUAACUCCGUGCCAGCAGCCGCGGUAAUACGGAGGGUGCAAGCGUUAUCCGGAAUCAUUGGGUUUAAAGGGUCCGUAGGCGGACUAAUAAGUCAGGGGUGAAAUCCAACAGCUUAACUGUUGAACUGCCUUUGAUACUGUUAGUCUUGAGUUAUAUGGAAGUAGAUAGAAUAUGUAGUGUAGCGGUGAAAUGCUUAGAGAUUACAUAGAAUACCGAUUGCGAAGGCAGUCUACUACGUAUAUACUGACGCUAAU